rnacentral:rRNA from 1 species
AUGGGCCAAUGCUGCACAAACGGAGCCGGGCAGGCUGCCGCUGCCGACGCGGCGGCCGAGGCAGAGCCGCCGGCGCCCCCAAAGACGCCGCGCGGGGACAACGCACCGACCAACGAUGGCCCGGCUCCUGCUCCUGGCGCCGCCGAGGCCGAGCCCGCCUCUGCGGCAACCAAGGCGGACCCCAAUGCCAAGCCGCCGGGCCCCGUGGGCGAGGUGCUCGGGCGGCCCAUAGAGGACGUGCGCGCGACCUACACCAUCGGCGAGGAGCUCGGGCGCGGCCAGUUUGGCGUGACCUACCUGUGCACCCACACGGAGACGGGGGAGAAGCUGGCGUGCAAGACGAUCGCGAAGCGGAAGCUGUCGGGCGCGGAGGACGUGGAGGACGUCCGGCGCGAGGUGGAGAUCAUGCGCCACCUCUCCGGCCAGCCCAACAUCGUGGACCUCCGCGGCGCCUACGAGGACAAGCACAACGUGCACCUGGUGAUGGAGCUGUGCGCCGGCGGGGAGCUCUUCGACCGGAUCAUCGCCAAGGGGCACUACACGGAGCGCGCCGCCGCCUCGCUGCUCCGGUCCGUGGUCGGGACCGUGCACACCUUCCACUCCAUGGGGGUGAUGCACCGGGACCUCAAGCCGGAGAACUUCCUGAUGCUCAACCGGGACGAGUCGUCGCCCAUCAAGGCCACCGACUUCGGCCUCUCCGUCUUCUUCAAGGAAGGCGAGGUGUUCAAGGACAUCGUCGGCAGCGCCUACUACAUCGCCCCGGAGGUGCUCAAGCGCAAGUACGGCCACGAGGCCGACGUCUGGAGCAUGGGCGUCAUGCUCUACAUCUUCCUCUCCGGCGUCCCUCCCUUCUGGGCGGAGAAUGAGAACGCCAUCUUCACCGCCAUUCUGCGCGGUGAGGUCGACUUCGUCAGCGAGCCGUGGCCCAACAUCUCCCCCGGAGCCAAGGAUCUUGUCAGGAAGAUGCUCCAUAUCAACCCCAAGGACAGGCUUACGGCCACCCAAGUCCUCAACCACCCAUGGAUCAAGGAAGACGGAGACGCCCCCGACACGCCGCUCGACAACGUCGUUCUGGACAGGAUGAAGCAGUUCGUGGCCAUGAACCAGUUCAAGAAAGCCGCACUGAGAGUCAUUGCCGGGUGCCUGUCAGAGGAGGAGAUCAAGGGGCUCAAGGAGAUGUUCAAGAGCAUCGACAAGGACAACAGCGGCACCAUCACCCUCGAAGAGCUCAAGAACGGGCUGGCCAAGCAGGGCAACAAGUUUUCGGACCAUGAAAUUCAGCAACUGAUGGAAGCAGCCGAUGCCGACGGCAAUGGAUUGAUCGACUACGAGGAGUUCGUCACCGCGACGGUGCACAUGAACAGAAUGGACAGGGAAGAGCACCUCUACACCGCGUUCCAAUACUUCGACAAGGACAACAGUGGGUACAUCACAAAAGAAGAGCUGGAGCAGGCCUUACAAGAGCAGAAGUUGUUCGACGCCGAGGAAUUCAAGGAUGUCAUUGCCGAAGCCGAUUCCGACAACGAUGGGAGGAUAGACUAUUCAGAGUUCGUGGCGAUGAUGAGGAAAGGAACGGGCGGUGCGGAGCCAUCGAACCCGAAGAAGAGGCGAGACCUAGUCCUAUAG